GACAGAGGUGCCGAGCGUUAGGCGGAAUCGACUGGGCUUAAAGCGUGUGUAGGCGGGUCCGUAAGUACCUUGUGAAAUCCCACGGCUCAACCGUGGAACUGCUUGGUAUAACUGCGGGUCUUGAGGCCACUUAGGGGCAAGCGGAACAAACGGUGGGAGCGGUGAAAUGCGUAGAUAUCGUUUGGAACGCCAAUGGUGAAAACAGCU
rnacentral:rRNA from 1 species